AUUAGUUAGGCAUGCAGUAAUAAACUACUGCCCUGCCACAUUUAUAACACACAAGCAUUGCUUCUCCUGACAUAUAACUGUUAUAAUCCACUUGAUGUUUUGCUUAUGGUUAUCUCCUUUAUUAUAAAUACGCUACUCUUGUUAGUAAUCUUAUCGAAUGCUUAAAUAAUAUAAAAUGAGGCAGUCCCUCAUAGGAGAUGUUGUACUGUGUUAACGUGACCCCAAGCUGUAUGAAAACCGUACAUCCCCUCUUCUUUAUUCUGUACCCCAUUUAACAAAUGCCUCAAUAAAAGAAAGAUUGGCAAAAAA